rnacentral:ncRNA from 1 species
AACGGGUGAGUAACGCGUAAGAACUUGCCCUUGGGAGGGGAACAACAACUGGAAACGGUUGCUAAUAUCCCGUGCUGAGGAGCAAAAGGAGAAAUCCGUCCAAGGAGGGGCUUGCAUCUGAUUAGCUAGUUGGUGAGGUAAUAGCUUAUCAAGGCGAUGAUCAGUAGCUGGUCCGAGAGGAUGAUCAGCCACACUGGGACUGAGACACGGCCCAGACUCCCAUG